CUUACCUUGGUCACUAAGCUGUUCUUUUGACUUCCUCAAAUGUAAUAACAAAAAUUUCUGAAUAUUUAUCCAAAGAUCAAGACUUUUUAUCAUUCUUGGGAUUAUUUGGCUUUUGCUUUGUCUUUUUUCUUUGAUUAAUUUAUCUACUUGGAUUGCUUAUUCAAUUUCUUAUCAAUGGGUGCAUAGUUAUUUUGCUAAUUACAUGAACUUGUAUUCUUACUUAGAUAGGUUUUUGGGUUCUUCUUGUUUCUUGAUUUGCUAUACUUGAAGUGGAACAAGUUCUUGAUUUUACUACUUUUUUGACUAGUGUUGUGUUUGAUAGAGAAGGGUUUGACUUUUUCUUGAUUAUUUGAUUGAAAUUAUCAAGAUCUUGUUGAUUUUGAGUGGCCAUUAUAGAGCUAUGUUUGUAAUUAUAUAAGAUAUUGAACCGUUGGGGAAGUGAAAGAUUGGAUUUUGAGAUUAGUGUCAAAUGGGGAACACUUGUGUUGGACCUAGUAUUUCUAGAAAUAGGUUCUUGCAGUCUGUUUCAGCUGCAAUGUGGCCGGCUCGGGUGCCGGAUGACUCUGGUUCCACCACUAAUGGUGGAAGUAGUAGGGGUGGAACAGUAGAAUCUGGGAAAGACCCUGAUUUGGUAGUUCAAAAUAGGGCACCUGAACAGAUGACAAUGCCUAAGUCUGAACAGAAGGAAGUGGAACCGGUGAAGAAGGAAGAGGAACCGGUAAAGCCUAAGAAGGCGGUAGAGAUGAAGAGGGUAGGUAGUGCAGGACUUAAGACUGAUUCUGUGUUACAGAAGAAAACAGGCAACUUAAAGGAGUUUUUCAGUAUAGGGAAGAAAUUAGGACAAGGACAAUUUGG
rnacentral:misc_RNA from 1 species